AGACAAGAGGCCGUAUUUUUAAUGGAUGAGGAAAUGCUUCAGUACGCUGAAUAAACUGCUUUUGUGAGGAACAGCUCAUUACUUAAUUAAUUGACUGUCGGUCUGCUAAUCUUCAACAUAUUUUACACUAAACAAUUAUUUUGUAAUGAACUAUGUGUGGAGUUUACAACGAUAAAAUUGUUGCUUUAUAAGAGAAAACGUAGACAAUUUUACGACAGAUAGGUGUCCGUUUACGGCUCUCACGAUUCGUUUAAAUGGUAUCCACAAACGGUGACUUUACUGUCGUAACACACUACUUGGCUAUUACGUUCUCUAUAUUAAAAAACGAGGAGGUUGUUAUAGACUAUGUGUAGAAGAUCUCUGGUUACCAUUUUAUCCAUCAGCUCACACAGUUCAUAAGACGUUUGCACGUGAUUGUAGAGUGUGACGCACGUACGAGCGAUUCCAUUUAUUUCCACAGACCAGAUUUAUUCACGAAAGCAUAAUAAACUCGUUGGAAUUGAGGUGGGAAAUAAUGGAGAAGUGUGACUGUUCUAAAUCUGGAUCUUGUAACUGCGGGCAAAACUGCAAAUGCACGAAUUGCACAAGCUCACAAUGCAAGAAAAGUUGCUGUGGCACGGCAUCCGGGUGCAGUAAGGACACCAAGGGCUGUGAGAGCGCGUGCAAGGACAAGGACAAGGACAAAUCGUGCCAAACUCGCUGCAAAUGAAAAUGUGUGAUGUGGCGCUGUGAAACCUUCAAUAAAAGCAAAUUAUAACACAUACUUUGCUAUUUUUACUGAUUCGUGAUACAUAUUUGCCAACCCUAUUUGCAUUUAAUUGUAGGCCUACGUGUAAAUGUAACGGGAUAAAUGGGAGAGAGGAAAACAACUUCCAAUUUAUUUAGUAGGUUAUGAAAACCGGGUAUACCCACUGAUCUAUAUAUAUAUACCACAAGAAUCAAAAUAUAAGCAAGUGUGCCUUAAAGAAUCUGUAGAAUUCUGACAAAGUUACAGGACUAGAUGAGAUGAGAUUUAUCAGGGAAACAGAAGACAAUAAAAGUGCCUUUAAAUCU